rnacentral:rRNA from 1 species
GAUGAACGCUGGCGGCGUGCCUAAUACAUGCAAGUCGAGCGAACGGACGAGAAGCUUGCUUCUCUGAUGUUAGCGGCGGACGGGUGAGUAACACGUGGAUAACCUACCUAUAAGACUGGGAUAACUUCGGGAAACCGGAGCUAAUACCGGAUGAUAUUUUGAACCGCAUGGUUCAAAAGUGAAAGACGGUCUUGCUGUCACUUAUAGAUGGAUCCGCGCUGCAUUAGCUAGUUGGUAAGGUAACGGCUUACCAAGGCAACGAUGCAUAGCCGACCUGAGAGGGUGAUCGGCCACACUGGAACUGAGACACGGUCCAGACUCCUACGGGAGGCAGAAGUAGGGAAUCUUCCGCAAUGGGCGAAAGACUGACGGAGCAACGCCGCGUGAGUGAUGAAGGUCUUCGGAUCGUAAAACUCUGUUAUUAGGGAAGAACAUAUGUGUAAGUAACUGUGCACAUCUUGACGGUACCUAAUCAGAAAGCAACGGCUAACUACGUG